GAUGAACGCUGGCGGCGUGCCUAAUACAUGCAAGUCGAGCGAACGGACGAGAAGCUUGCUUCUCUGAUGUUAGCGGCGGACGGGUGAGUAACACGUGGAUAACCUACCUAUAAGACUGGGAUAACUUCGGGAAACCGUAGCUAAUACCGGAUAAUAUUUUGAACCGCAUGGUUCAAAAGUGAAAGACGGUCUUGCUGUCACUUAUAGAUGGAUCCGCGCUGCUUUAGCUAGUUGGUAAGGUAACGGCUUACCAAGGCAACGAUGCAUAGCCGACCUGAGAGGGUGAUCGGCCACACUGGAACUGAGACACGGUCCAGACUCCUACGGGAGGCAGCAGUAGGGAAUCUUCCGCAAUGGGCGAAAGCCUGACGGAGCAACGCCGCGUGAGUGAUGAAGGUCUUCGGAUCGUAAAACUCUGUUAUUAGGGAAGAACAUAUGUGUAAGUAACUGUGCACAUCUUGACGGUACCUAAUCAGAAAGCCACGGCUAACUACGUG
rnacentral:rRNA from 1 species